GAUGAACGCUGGCGGCGUGCCUAAUACAUGCAAGUCGAGCGAACAGACGAGGAGCUUGCUCCUCUGACGUUAGCGGCGCACGGGUGAGUAACACGUGGAUAACCUACCUAUAAGACUGGGAUAACUUCGGGACACCGGAGCUAAUACCGGAUAAUAUAUUGAACCGCAUGGUUCAAUAGUGAAAGACGGUUUUGCUGUCUCUUAUAGAUGGAUCCGCGCCGCAUUAGCUAGUUGGUAAGGUAACGGCCUACCAAGGCAACGAUGCGUAGCCGAACUGUGAGGGUGAUCGCCGGCACUGGAAGGGAGACACCGUCCAGACUCCUAAGGGAGGCAGCAGUAGGGAAUCGUAGGCAAUAGGCGAAAGCCUGACGGAACAACGCCGAGUGAGUGAUGGAGGUGCUCGGAUCGUAAAACUCUGUUAUUAGGGAAGAACAAAUUUGUAAGUAACUGUGCACGUCUUGACGGUAACUAAUCAGAAAGCCACGGCUAACUACGUG
rnacentral:rRNA from 1 species